rnacentral:rRNA from 1 species
GACGAACGCUGGCGGCGUGCUUAACACAUGCAAGUCGUACGGUAAGGCCCUUUCGGGGGUACGCGAGUGGCGCACGGGUGAGUAACACGUGUAUAACCUUCCCACAACUUUGGGAUAACGCUAGGAAACUGGUGCCAAUACUGGCUAUGUGCUCCUGCUGCAUGGUGGGGGUUGGAAAGCUCCGGCGGUUGUGGAUGGGCUCGCGGCCUAUCAGCUUGUUGGUGGGGUAGUGGCCUACCAAGGCGGCGACGGGUAGCCGGCCUGAGAGGGUGACCGGCCACACUGGGUCUGAGGGGCGGCCGAGGCGCCGACGGGUGGCAGCUGUGGGGAAGCUUGCACAAGGGGCGCCAGCUGGAUGCAGCAGCGCCGCGUGUGGGAUGACGCCUUUCGGGGUGAAAACCGCUUUCAGCAGGGACGAAGCUUGUUGUGACGUUACCUGCAGAAGAAGCACCGGCUAACUACGUG